rnacentral:rRNA from 1 species
GGAUGGAAACUGCCAAUCUAGAGUAUCGGAGAGGAAAGUGGAAUUCCUAGUGUAGCGGUGAAAUGCGUAGAUAUUAGGAAGAACACCAGUGGCGAAGGCGGCUUACUGGACGAAAACUGACGCUGAGGCGCGAAAGCCAGGGGAGCGAACGGGAUUAGAUACCCCGGUAGUCCUGGCCGUAAACGAUGGGUACUAGGUGUAGGAGGUAUCGACCCCUUCUGUGCCGGAGUUAACGCAAUAAGUACCCCGCCUGGGGAGUACGACCGCAAGGUUGAAACUCAAAGGAAUUGACGGGGCCCGCACAAGCGGUGGAGUAUGUGGUUUAAUUCGACGCAACGCGAAGAACCUUACCAGGUCUUGACAUUGAUGGACAGAACUAGAGAUAGU